CAGGAGUGAAGCUCCUGUGUGGUUUUCUGGAGAGUCCACACUGUAGACUGGAGACUCUGAGAUUGUGGGGCUGCAGUUUGUCAGAGAUCAGCUGUGCUUCUCUGGCCUCAGCUCUGAAGUCCAACCCCUCCCGUCUGAGAAAGCUGGAUCUGGGUAAUAACAACCUGAAGGAUUCAGACGUGAAGCUGCUGUCUGAUCUUGUGAAGAGUCCAGACUGUAGACUGGAGACUCUGAGAUGGCACCGAAGGUGGUCUCUGUCAGAGUCUGAGUGAUCAGAAAAGUGGAUGUGUUGAGAGAAUCAGCUGUCUCCUGAUAAUCCACAGAGGUUCACCACCUGGACCUGGAUCUUAUUUUGUCUUCUUUUUAUUCAUUCAUUUAUUCUGAACCCAAAAUGCCUCUGCAGAAUAGUUCAGUUUAUGACAACAUAACUGUAGAUUAACACAUUUAAAUAGAUCUUUCUGCUUUGCUUUGUGUCACAGCUCCACUCUGUGGAACGAUGGAGUUUUGCUGUUUAUUUCCACAUAUUUGUAAAUAACAGUGGAAGUUAAUAUAGUUAUCGUAUUAAAACCAAGCCCUCAGGACGAGCGCCUAGCUUUGAGGUCCUAAAAGUUGUAAAAUGCACUUAUAGCUGAAUCCAGAGUUAUUUUCCUUCCUCCGUUC